UACGGAGGGUGCGAGCGUUGUCCGGAAUUAUUGGGCGUAAAGAGCUCGUAGGCGGCUUGUCGCGUCGUUCGUGAAAACCCACGGCUCAACUGUGGGCUUGCGGUCGAUACGGGCAGGCUGGAGUUCGGUAGGGGAGACUGGAAUUCCUGGUGUAGCGGUGAAAUGCGCAGAUAUCAGGAGGAACACCGGUGGCGAAGGCGGGUCUCUGGGCCGAUACUGACGCUGAGGAGCGAAAGCGUGGGGAGCGAACAGG
rnacentral:rRNA from 1 species